UACGGGGGGUGCGAGCGUUGUCCGGAAUCACUGGGCGUAAAGGGCGCGUAGGCGGUCUCUUAAGCGUGUGGUGAAAGCCCGGGGCUCAACUCCGGGUCGGCCGUGCGAACUGGGGGACUGGAGCUUGUCAGAGGCAGGCGGAAGUUCCUGGUGUAGCGGUGAAAUGCGCAGAUAUCAGGAGGAACACCGGUGGCGAAGGCGGUUCUCUGGGCCUGUACUGACGCUGAGGAGCGAAAGCGUGGGGAGCGAACAGG
rnacentral:rRNA from 1 species